GUUCCGAUAUUAAGAGUAAAUAUAUAGUUUUACUGGAUAUGCAUUCAUAAGUGUAUGUUAUUGUACAUAAAGUAGUCAAUAGGAAUUUGAAGCUUUAUUAUAAUUCAUAUUGCAAAACAUCCUUGUUGCAUUAAAAGUUUCCCUUUUAUUCCAAAAAGCUAAGAUUAUACCGAACUCUUUAUGUAUCAAUGCAACCCAAAUAAUUUUGAAAGGCUUGCAUAAUUCAACUAUCUUUUGUCUAAUUAGGGGCAAUAAUUUUGAUCAUGUCUCUACCUUUGUUCUUGACCUAUAUAUUCCUCCAUCUGGUGUUAAGCAAACAACAAUCAUCCAUUAUAUAGCAUUUGUUUAAUAUAAAUGUACGUGUUCGAUUAUUCAAUAAGUGAUUUUAAAUUGGUUUGACAAUUAUUCUCCUCAGAAGCACAUUUGUCUUUUGUAAUUUUUUUCACAAGAGGCUUUUCCUUAACUGAUUAUUUCUAAAUUGUUGUCCAAAAUACAUUUUUCUGACGUGAUGAAAUGUAUUCUACAACGCAUAUAUACGUCAAACUUGAGAUUUAUUCGUCUGGAAUGUGGAAUAACAAAUAUUGAUUUGUUUGUUGUCUGAUAGUUUAACCGGGAUAGAUUUAUGUUCAAUAUUUUCAGUAACCCGGCUAAGAAAUUGUGUUAAAUAUUUCAAAGUCUGACAAUUUAAAUGUUUUAAAUAGAUCUUUUAGGAAUGUUGUGAUUAACAUGUCUUCAAAUCUUCAAAUUGACACGUUUAACAGUAGAAUGUAUGGUUAAUCAAAGAUUUGAAGACAUGUUAAUCACAACAUUCCUAAAAGAUCUAUUUAAAACAUUUAAAUAUGGUUGGUUUCAUGACUAUAUUCAAAAAUAUUUGAACACACUCUGUUUUAAGGGAUUGGUAUGACCACUGAGGAAUCGGGUAUUAUUUUAUUCAAUUCAUCUUAAAAAUAAACAUAAAACAAAAACGUUAAGUUAUAAUGAGGGUCGCAACCAUUUUCAAAAUCUUUAAAUAUUCUGAAACACUACAUUGCAACAAAAACCCAAACGACAAUGUGUCACAUUCAUAAACGAACUUAAAGAUAACUGCCACUUUUCUGAAUUGGUAUAGGACAUUUUAAGAAAAACAUGAUGAAUUGAACCUAGUGAGUGGCUAGACUCAUCAAAGACGCUCAGAUUAAAAUAGACAGAAAGCCAAAGUGUUGAAUAACAACAACAAAAAAAAAACAAACACGUAAAACAACCUAGGGCAGCACAUAAAAACAAUCACAGAUUUGUAGAAUAAAAUGACUGCAAAAAAUCUUAAUAAAUGAAAAAAUACGACCCCAAAUUGGGUUAUUCCAAAUUUAUAAGUUCAUCGGUAAACAUUGCUAUUUUUCCUAGAUUGAGAUUUCAGUGGUCAUUCUGAAAUAACAAUGAAUUGGGAUGACCACUGAAAUCUCAAUCUAGGAAAAAUAGCAAUGUAUACCGAUGAACCUAUAAAUUUGGAA
rnacentral:lncRNA from 1 species